rnacentral:lncRNA from 13 species
AGUUUAAACAAAGAUGAUCCACAUGAUCAUCAAUGUUUGGAAGGUCAAGUCCAGAAAAUGAAGAAUGAUAUCCUGGGUUUAAACUAUCCAGAAGAUAGUGAAGUGAAGGAUCCCCUGCCUCAGAUCGAGCUGAAGGCUGUGACAAGGAGAAAAGUUAAGACCAAGAGGAGGACCAGUGCCAACAGGUCCACAGUUGAACAGAGCACUGAUACUGAUGCAGCUGAGAGAGAUUUAGUUGAUAAUCAGAAUGAUGAAGAUGAGGAAGAGGUGAAGAAGGAUCCACCGCCUCAGAUGGAGCAGGAUGCCGUAAAGAGAAAUAAAGUCAAGAUCAUCACAGCAGCUGAUGUUGCUGUACAGAGGAAGGAGAUCCUCCGAGCAUCAGGCCUCAUCCCUGAACGAAGGAGUUGAUCCUCCUCAUGGCCAGCAUCCCUGCACACAGGGAGGGGAUCCUCCUCACAGCCAGUGUCCCUGUGAAGAAUGGAAACUAUCAUCCACAACCACCUCCCAUCAUCCCCAUGGUGGCACCACUGUGGAAAUGGGAUGGUGGAGCGUGUACUCCACCUGUGGAUUUCUAUUCCAAGGGAAGAUGUCACUUAAACGUACCUAAUUAGUAAAGAAAUUACCAUUGUGAUAGCGUGAUGAUGUGACUAUUUUAUGCAGAAAUAGUUUGGCGAUUGGUCACAUUUGUAAGCCCUCACAUAAUAUGCAGGGAAUUGUUGAUUUGGAAUUGUUUGCAACCAAAACAAUGCGAUGGCAGAGUACUGGAGUAAACUCCCAGUAAUCCCCGUGACUGCGUGUAGGUUAAGAUUGGGUUGUAACAGAGUAUCAGAGCGAGACGUUCCUACCUGUCAGCUAGUAAUUGUUCUGUGUGGUGACAUGAUCAGAGUGGCCUGACUUCUUCCACUUAUUACAGAUGUCCGACUUAGAUAUGUUGAGCAUCCUGCUAUGAUGUCCAUUACCAAGCCGGAACACUCCGAGGCCAACCCUCAGUGCCAGACUGGCAGCCAGCCGGUGGCUGAGCCCGAGACCCCUGCUGUUAACAAUAACAGUGGAGGCUGGCUCAGCUGGGUCUUUGGGAGUGGAAGAGUUAAUAAGAAGGGGGUUCAUCUACCUGAGGACAAAGACAGAUCUAACAAGUGUGUACAACCACCUCCACGAAUGGGGACAUAUGGAUAUCAGGAGAACACUGGCAGUGUCCCCAAAGGAGUGAAUCCUUACUCUAUGAAAGUCUAUGGGGCAGCAGAUACCCUACAAUGCAUUACAAUGAUGGGACCAACUCAAAGCCUCAAAGCCGUGGGCCUGGACUGCUUCCUAGACAGCUCUCUGGCUUGCUCCCUUCUUCACACUUUGACCUCAUGGCACCAAUGGUUGUACCACCUGACACUCUACCCUACUGAGGCCAUUUGCCCAGAUUGGAUUUGCAAUACAUAGAUUUUUUCAGCAUUAAAAAUCUUCAGCAUUAAAAAUGUGUUAAAAGAUGAUCUUUCAAUGAAUCUCUCCUUUGUGUCCUCAUGUUCACAUUAAUUUGAUGUGUUCUAUCAUCAUUUACAAUGCUUAUUGCUUCUGCAUUGCUUUACGUUACAGAAAAGUAUAUACACUGCUCAAAAAAAUAAAGGAAA